GGAAAAGGCGUAUGGUGAGUUGUAUGAGAGGUUAGACCCUAAGGAAGGAGAAAAGUACUUGUGCCGAUUGGCUAAACAGAGACCGAGAUGGGAAGGACGUGCAGCAAGUUAGGGCAACAAGCGAGGACAGUGUGCUGAGAAGGUGGAAGGAGUACCUUGAGGGGCUGAUGAAUGAAGAAAAUGAGAGAGAGAGAAGGUUGGAUGAUGGGUGAUAAGGUGCCCUGCACCCUGUCAGAUAAUUCACUGCUGUCAUAAGUCCAAGCUACAUUUCUGUUUGCAGUACAGUCCAGUCCAGCUCAGCCCUCCACUCUCAUGUGAAGCACGGUCCAGACCAGCUCAGUCCCCUCCCAUUGCUCUCAGCUUUAUCCUAGCAGAGAACCAACAGCUCUUACCAUUGCACAGAAGCACCAGAAGACACCAGAAGACCAGCAGACCCUUCCUUGUGCUCUCCUCCCUGUCAGAUAAUCCACUACUGUCAGAAGUCCAAGUAACUCCUAACCUGAAAUGUCUGUUUGAUUGAUUGUCUCUUAAGUUAUUGCAUCAAAUGGAAAUGCCUACAUCAAAGGACAGAGAAUGUUAUGUCAGUCAUGUCUUUUGAAUAAAAGG